CAUAAGAUUCCUGCACCCCUUGUUAUCAGAACUGCGGGGACACGGGAAGGGAAGCAGAGCCGGGAAUGGAAAGCCCGGUGCAAGCGAAGGAGUCGCAGGGUUGGAAAAUCCGCCCUGCAUGAGACGAAGGCGUGAUGCGGAGCGAAAUGAAGUAGUGAAGCUGCGGCCCCUUCCUGUCGAGGAAAGCCGCUAUCGUGUAGCAAGGGCCCGUACCGUAAACCGACACAGGUGGAUGAGGAGAGGAUCCUAAGGCCGGCGGGAGAAGUGUUGUUAAGGAACUCGGCAAAAUGACUCCGUAACUUCGGGAGAAGGAGUGCUGCGCAAGCAGCCGCAGAGAAAUGGCCCAAGCAACUGUUUAGCAAAAACACAGGUCUAUGCGAAACCGAAAGGUGAGGUAUAUGGGCUGACGCCUGCCCGGUGCUGGAAGGUUAAGGGGAGAGCUUAGCGCGAGCGAAGGUUUGAACUUAAGCCCCAGUAAACGGCGGCCGUAACUAUAACGGUCCUAAGGUAGCGAAAUUCCUUGUCGGGUAAGUUCCGACCCGCACGAAAGGCGUAAUGAUUUGGGCACUGUCUCAACAACACACCCGGUGAAAUUGAAAUACCAGUGAAGAUGCUGGUUACCCGCGCCAGGACGGAAAGACCCCAUGGAGCUUUACUCCAGCCUGAUACUGGGAUUCGGUAUUGCAUGUACAGGAUAGGUGGGAGGCUAAGAACUCAUGGCGCCAGCCGUGAGGGAGCCGAUGUUGGGAUACCACCCCUGCAGUACUGGGUUUCUAACCUGCGCCCGUGACCCGGGCGGGGGACAAUGUCAGGCGGGGAGUUUGACUGGGGCGGUCGCCUCCGAAAGGGUAUCGGAGGCGCUCAAAGGUCUCCUCAGGAUGGUUGGAAACCAUCCAGAGAGUGCAAAGGCAGAAGGAGGAUUGACUGCGACACCGACGGGUGGAGCAGGUACGAAAGUAGGACUUAGUGAUCCGGUGGCAUAAAGUGGGAUUGCCAUCGCUCAACGGAUAAAAGCUACCCUGGGAUAACAGGCUUAUCACUCCCAAGAGUUCACAUCGACGGAGUGGUUUGGCACCUCGAUGUCGGCUCAUCGCAUCCUGGAGCUGGAGCAGGUUCCAAGGGUUGGGCUGUUCGCCCAUUAAAGCGGUACGCGAGCUGGGUUCAGAACGUCGUGAGACAGUUCGGUCCCUAUCCGGCGCGGGCGCAGGAUAUCUGAGAGGAGCUGUCCUUAGUACGAGGGGACCGGGAUGGACCGUCCGCUGGUGGACCGGUUGUCAUGCCAAUGGCACGGCCGGGCAGCCAAGACGGGAAGGGAUAAACGCUGAAGGCAUCUAAGCGUGAAGCCCCCCUCAAGAUGAGAUAUCCAUACUCGAAAGAGUGAGAGACCCCUUAGAGACGAUGAGGUAGAUAGGGCAGAGAUGGAAGCACAGCGAUGUGUGGAGUUGACUGUUACUAAUCGGUCGAAAGCUUG
rnacentral:rRNA from 1 species